rnacentral:rRNA from 1 species
GACGAAGGGGGCUAGCGUUGUUCGGAAUUACUGGGCGUAAAGCGCGUGUAGGCGGUUGUUCAAGUCAGGUGUGAAAGCCUUGAGCUCAACUCAAGAAAUGCACUUGAUACUGGAUGACUAGAGGACCGGAGAGGAUAGUGGAAUUCCCAGUGUAGUGGUGAAAUACGUAGAGAUUGGGAAGAACACCAGUGGCGAAGGCGGCUAUCUGGACGGUUUCUGACGCUAAGACGCGACAGCGUGGGGAGCAAACAGG